rnacentral:lncRNA from 1 species
AUGGUGGGGUUCAAAGCACAAGGGCCAGCCGCGUGGUCAGGGAGGGGAGCCCAGUAUCGAACUAGCAUUGAUACGCUUCUGCUAGAACAAACUGUGGGCCCAACACACCAGGAAGGAUGGAGGGUGAGGAAAAGGAAUGGGAAAGACGGAGUCAGCAGAGGAGAGGGAUGCUGGGGCCAUCUGGGAACACACAUCACCCACUGCUCCUGUGAUCCUCGAAGGCUUUCUGGGGUCAGGUUUAAUUUUCAGGCUCAACUAGCAACUCUAAGAGGAUCAAGGAAAACCUUUUUCCUUGUUUAUGAAGCAUUUAAUGGAAUCAUGUGAUUCAGCCUUUGAAAGGAAUGAACUUCUGAUACGAGCGACAACAUGGGUAUGGGGAUUCUAUAGGCAGAAGCUGGAUUUCCUAUUUCAAAAAUGCCCAUCAUUUGGACAAAUAACCCAAUCAGAUUGUAAAGAGACGUGUCCAAUGUCCCCUGAGGCUUUGGGGAGAGGGGCACAGAGAUAUGACUGAAGCUUCAACGUGUAACUAAAAGAAGACCAGAUGGACCAUUAUCACAUCACUCUGCAGUCAGAUAAUGUCUUCUGGCAGGAACUGCAGCUGCCUCUUGAAACGCCAAGAUGCUGGCGGGAGAGAUGGGUCCCCGUCCACUGAGGAAUCACCCCUUCCUGCUCAACUUUUUCAUUGUUCUUUCCCAAACUCCAUGCUUUUGUUUCAUUUUUUUUGCCAAGAAUUUUUAACUUUGUUAUCUUUUUCUAUAAAUGCUAGGCUAGUCACUUAAUGAAUCCCAAAGCCAGGUCAACACAGCCAAAUUAUUUAGAAUUAGCUUUAGAGAGUCACCUUCCAGUUUGGUAGGUCAGCUAGUAUUGUGUAUGCUUGCGCAUAUGAUAUUUUCAUUCAAAUCAUCUGUAUAUGUUUCAAAGCCAGCCCUCUGAGUACUAGGGGAUGAGCUAUUGUCAGAAGGAGCAAUGAUCAUUUACAAAUAAUCACCAUAUCCUGUUUGGAGAGAGUUUCCCAGCCAAGAGGCUGGAAGAGGCCUCUCCAGAGUGAAAUCUAAUCUGACUUUGAAACCUCAGCCAUCCAGCACAGUCUCUUUGUUAUUAUCAGCAAUUUAAAGCCUAGCUAUUCACUCCUCAGAAACAGACCUGUGAAACGGCUCUGUUCCCGCUUCUAAGAUUUAUAUACAAAAAACAAUGGAAACACGAAUCAUUAAAAAUUUUAUUUGACCCUAUCUAGUUGACCUAAUUUUUCUAUGAAUCAUACUUUAU